UACGUAGGUUGCAGGCGUUAAUCGGAAUUACUGGGCGUAAAGCGUGCGCAGGCGGUUUGCUAAGACAGGUGUGAAAUCCCCGGGCUUAACCUGGGAACUGCGCUUGUAACUGGCAAGCUGGAGUGUGGCAGAGGGGGGUGGAAUUCCACGUGUAGCAGUGAAAUGCGUAGAGAUGUGGAGGAACACCGAUGGCGAAGGCAGCCCCCUGGGCUAACACUGACGCUCAUGCACGAAAGCGUGGGGAGCAAACAGG
rnacentral:rRNA from 1 species